rnacentral:rRNA from 1 species
UGUGACCUACGGGGCGCAGCAGUGGGGAAUAUUGCACAAUGGGGGGAACCCUGAUGCAGCGACGCCGCGUGAGUGAAGAAGUAUUUCGGUACGUAAAGCUCUAUCAGCAGGGAAGAAAAAAGGACGGUACCUGAGUAAGAAGCCCCGGCUAACUACGUGCCAGCAGCCGCGGUAAUACGUAGGGGGCAAGCGUUAUCCGGAAUUACUGGGUGUAAAGGGAGCGUAGACGGCAAGGCAAGUCCGGAGUGGAAUGCGGCAGCUCAACUGCCGAACUGCUCGGGCAACUGUAUGGCUUGAUU